rnacentral:rRNA from 1 species
GUCCACGCCGUAAACGAUGAUCACUCGAGAUUGGCGAUAUACGGUCAGUCUCCUAGCGAAAGCGUUAAGUGAUCCACCUGGGGAGUACGAUCGCAAGAUUGAAACUCAAAGGAAUUGACGGGGGCCCCGCACAAGCGGUGGAGCAUGUGGUUUAAUUCGAUGAUAACGCGAGGAACCUUACCAGGGCUCGAACGCAAGUUGACAGGGGCGGAAACGUCCUCUUCUUCGGACAAUUUGCGAGGUGCUGCAUGGCUGUCGU